rnacentral:tRNA from 1 species
GGAGAGAUGGCUCAACAGUUAGAGCACUGACUGCUCUGCCAGAGGACUUGGGUUCAAUUCCCAGCAUCUACA